rnacentral:rRNA from 1 species
CCUACGGGAGGCAGCAGUGAGGAAUAUUGGUCAAUGGGCGGAAGCCUGAACCAGCCAAGUCGCGUGCGGGAAUAAGGCCCUACGGGUCGUAAACCUCUUUUGCCGGGGAGCAAGCUCGGGUACGUGUCCCGUCCCGGAGAGUCCCCGUAGAUAAAGCCUCGGCUAACUCCGUGCCAGCAGCCGCGGUAAUCCGGAGGAUGCGGGCGUUACCCGGAUUUAUUGGGUUUAAGGGGUGCUUAGGCGGGCUUUUAAGUCGGCGGUAAAAAUUCGGGGCUCAACCGCGUCCGGCCGUUGAAACUGGGGCCUUGAGUGGGCGAGAGGAAGGCGGAAUGCGUGGUGUAGCGGUGAAAUGCAUAGAUAUCACGCAGAACCCCGAUUGCGAAGGCAGCCUUCCGGAG